rnacentral:rRNA from 1 species
AUUGAACGCUGGCGGCAGGCCUAACACAUGCCAGUCGAGCGGUAACAGGAAGCAUCUUGCUGCUUUGCUGACGAGUGGCGGACGGGUGAGUAAUGUCUGGGAAACUGCCUGAUGGAGGGGGAUAACUACUGGAAACGGUAGCUAAUACCGCAUAACGUCGCAAGACCAAAGAGGGGGACCUUCGGUCCUCUUGCCAUCGGAUGUGCCCAGAUGGGAUUAGCUAGUAGGUGGGGUAACGGCUCACCUAGGCGACGAUCCCUAGCUGGUCUGAGAGGAUGACCAGCCACACUGGAACUGAGACACGGUCCAGACUCCUACGGGAGGCAGCAGUGGGGAAUAUUGCACAAUGGGCGAAAGCCUGAUGCAGCAAUGCCGCGUGUAUGAAGAAGGCCUUCGGGUUGUAAAGUACUUUCAGCGGGGAGGAAGGGAGUAAAGUUAAUACCUUUGCUCAUUGACGUUACCCGCAGAAGAAGCACCGGCUAACUCCGUG